rnacentral:rRNA from 1 species
CAGACGGGGGACUGCAGUGAGGAAGAGGGGUCAAUGGGCGGAAGCCUGAACCAGCCAAGUCGCGUGAGGGAAUAAGGCCCUACGGGUCGUAAACCUCUUUUGCCGGGGAGCAAGGGCCGGGACGAGUCCCGGUCCGGAGAGUACCCGGAGAAAAAGCAUCGGCUAACUCCGUGCCAGCAGCCGCGGUAAUACGGAGGAUGCGAGCGUUAUCCGGAGUUAUUGGGUUUAAAGGGUGCGUAGGCGGGCUUUUAAGUCAGCGGUAAAAAUUCGGGGCUCAACCCCGUCCGGCCGUUGAAACUGGGGGCCUUGAGUGGGCGAGAAGAAGGCGGAAUGCGUGGUGUAGCGGUGAAAUGCAUAGAUAUCACGCAGAACCCCGAUUGCGAAGGCAGCCUUCCGGCGCCCUACUGACGCUGAGGCACGAAAGUGCGGGGAUCGAACAGGAUUAGAUACCCCAGUAGUC